UCUGAUGAUUGGCCUACGGAACAAUAUGGAAGUCAUGAAAAUCCAAAUAUUAAAUAAGAAAUGUCAACAUUACAUUAAUAAAAAGUUGAAAUGUGAAAUUAAUUCAACAUUAAAACAUAAUUUUAUCUUUUUCUAGGCCAUGAACAAGUUGUAAGGGAUACAAUUUAUAUAUCAUUUAGGGUGGGUGGGGGCUAAUUUUUAAAAUGAAAAACAUAUUUUUCAUGC